rnacentral:piRNA from 1 species
UGUACUUUAAGUUCUCAAGGA